rnacentral:rRNA from 1 species
ACUCCUACGGGAGGCAGCAGUGGGGAAUAUUGGACAAUGGGCGCAAGCCUGAUCCAGCCAUGCCGCGUGAGUGAUGAAGGCCCUAGGGUUGUAAAGCUCUUUCACCGGUGAAGAUAAUGACGGUAACCGGAGAAGAAGCCCCGGCUAACUUCGUGCCAGCAGCCGCGGUAAUACGAAGGGGGCUAGCGUUGUUCGGAUUUACUGGGCGUAAAGCGCACGUAGGCGGACUAUUAAGUCAGGGGUGAAAUCCCGGGGCUCAACCCCGGAACUGCCUUUGAUACUGGUAGUCUUGAGUUCGAGAGAGGUGAGUGGAAUUCCGAGUGUAGAGGUGAAAUUCGUAGAUAUUCGGAGGAACACCAGUGGCGAAGGCGGCUCACUGGCUCGAUACUGACGCUGAGGUGCGAAAGCGUGGGGAGCAAACAGGAUUAGAUACCCUAGUAGUCCCAUG